AUUGAACGCUGGCGGCAGGCCUAACACAUGCAAGUCGAACGAGUGGCGGACGGGUGAGUAAUGUCUGGGAAACUGCCUGAUGGAUGGGGAUAACUACUGGAACCGGUAGCUAAUACCGCAUACCAUCGGAUUUGCCCAGAUGGGAUUAGCUAGUAGGUGGGGUAACGGCUCACCUAUGCGACGAUCCAUAGCUGGUCUGAGAGGAUGACCAGCCACACUGGAACUGAGACACGGUCCAGACUCCUACGGGAGGCAGCAGUGGGGAAUAUUGCACAAUGGGCGCAAGCCUGAUGCAGCCAUGCCGCGUGUGUAAAGAAGGCCUUCGGGUUGUAAAGUACUUUCAGCGGGGAGGCGUUACCCACAGAGGAAGCACCGGCUAACUCCGUGCCAGCAGCCGCGGUAAUUC
rnacentral:rRNA from 1 species